AGUCCAGAGUUAGGCUUUUUGACACUGCCUGAGCCCUACAAGAUUCUUUCUCUUUCCCAAUUCCCACCCCCUCAAGGUAAAAAUGACGGCCUCCGACAUUUUUGUAGCUGUACCAGGAGCAGUGACAUACCCUGCAGUCUGGUGAGGAAAGUACAUAUAUGCCACAGUUAGACUUGUAUAUGGACAGCAACCAUCUUAAUUAGAGACGGGGGCCUUCCCUGUCAUUGGAAAUGUUCACAUGGCGUAUCAGUGACCGGCAGCUGGGACAAGGAAGAAUGGGCACAUUUUGCGGUGGGUAGGGAGCUGGACUGUUUGAGCCACCCACAUCUGAAUGUGGGACCUACAGGGCACAGAGGAGCUCCUGGUAUCGGGACCUGAGGAUCAACGCCUCCUUACAACAUUCUGCAAAAUAAUUCCUCAACAAAAGGUUGGUGAUUAUUUCCAAAAUGAAGAAGUAGCUACUAGAAACCAGUGUGGAUUCACUUAGAGAAAGUCACUGAGAACUAGAAUGCGGAUGGACAGCUCAAAAAAUAGAGACAAAAGGAGAGUUUGAGCAGAGGGAGAAACAAACUUGUCUAGGACAGUGCUUAAGAUACUAUCUAUUUGGAAGGAAGCAGGACCCAAAGAAGAUCAAUCCCUGUCACGUGAUCCCAGACGCCAAGAGUUUACUCCAGAAGCUUCCUUUCAACUGGUCACCAGCUCCUUAUCCACUGAAAUCCUACCCAUCCUCCACGUGCAUUAUUAUGGGCUUUGUGUGGCAUGAAAGGGACCUCUGCUAAACUACUUUAUUAAGAAAAUAUUAGUCUUUUACUCAUGGA
rnacentral:lncRNA from 1 species